UGAGAGAGUGAACGGCCACAUUGGACUGAGACACGGCCCAAACUCCUACGGGAGGCAGCAGUGGGGAAUAUUGCACAAUGGGGGAAACCCUGAUGCAGCGACGCCGCGUGAAGGAAGAAGUAUUUGGUAUGUAAACUUCUAUCAGCAGGGUAAGAUAAUGACGUACCUGACUAAGAAGCUCCGGCUAAAUACGUGCCAGCAGCCGC
rnacentral:rRNA from 1 species